ACCUCCUGCCUCUCCUGGGGUCUCUGGAGGCAGAGUCACCAUGUGUGAAGAGGUUCCUGGCUCGGGCACCUGAGCCAGUCCCUGGCCAGGAGGUAAUUCAUUUCUCUGACUUACUGGGCAAGAUUCUUAACUUCGCUGAACCUGGUGUCUCUCAUCUAUCAAAUGGUCCCGUUAAUAAGUACCUUGCUGGCAAAAUGAGCCCAUAGCAGAACCUAGCAAAAUCAGUGCUCCCUGAGUGGCCGCGGUGAUGGUGAUGACGAUGACGAUAACUGCAUAGCUGAGACCUGACCCUCAGCUUCCUCCUUUGUAAAAUGACUCUACUACCCCACAGACUGUUGUGAGCAUCAUGUAGAGCCAAAAACCAGCUCAAAAGUGGAUCUUGGUUGCGGCACAAGAGUCCUUUGCUGCUUCUCUAGUUGUGGCAUGCAGGCUUCAUCGCACCACGGCAUGUGGCUCUUAGUUCCCCGACCAGGGACUGAACCUAUAUCCCCUAUCCUGGAAGAUAGAUUCUUAACCAUUGGACCACCAGAGAAGUUCCUCUUGAUGCUACUUCUUGCUACUGAAAUGACUUUGGGAGUAUUACUUUCGGCCCCUGAGCCUCAGUUCCUUCACCUGUAAGAGAUGAUCAUGUGUAUCUCGCAUGAAGUGUUGUCCUGAGGGUUAAUGAGAUAAUACGUAUGAGGAGUCAAGUCCAGCACCUGGCUGAUGGCAAGCACCUAGUGUGUGGUAACCAAAAUCCCAGUUUGCAUGUACUUCCCCACUGGAGAGCAGCAGAGAAAUUCCUUGGAGAGUCCCAGAGUAUUUGUUCAGACUGUAAAGGACACUUGCUUGGAUUUUAUAAGAUUAAUUAAAAAAACAAUGGAAACAGUUGA